rnacentral:rRNA from 1 species
AUUGAACGCUGGCGGCAGGCCUAACACAUGCAAGUCGAACGGUAACAGGAAGACGCUUGCUUCUUUGCUGACGAGUGGCGGACGGGUGAGUAAUGUCUGAGAAACUGCCUGAUGGAGGGGGAUAACUACUGGAAACGGUAGCUAAUACCGCAUAACGUCGCAAGACCAAAGAGGGGGACCUUCGGGCCUCUUGCCAUCGGAUGUGCCCAGAUGGGAUUAGCUAGUAGGUGGGGUAACGGCUCACCUAGGCGACGAUCCCUAGCUGGUCUGAGAGGAUGACCAGCCACACUGGAACUGAGACACGGUCCAGACUCCUACGGGAGGCAGCAGUGGGGAAUAUUGCGCAACGGGCGCAAGCCUGAUGCAGCCAUGCCGCGUGUAUGAAGAAGGCCUUCGGGUUGUAAAGUACUUUCAGCGGGGAGGAAGGGAGUAAAGUUAAUACCUUUGCUCAUUGACGUUACCCGCAGAAGAAGCACCGGCUAACUCCGUG